rnacentral:rRNA from 1 species
AUGGGAUUAGCUAGUAGGUGGGGUAACGGCUCACCUAGGCGACGAUCCCUAGCUGGUCUGAGAGGAUGACCAGCCACACUGGAACUGAGACACGGUCCGGACUCCUACGGGAGGCAGCAGUGGGGAAUAUUGCACAAUGGGCGCAAGCCUGAUGCAGCCAUGCCGCGUGUAUGAAGAAGGCCUUCGGGUUGUAAAGUACUUUCAGCGGGGAGGAAGGGAGUAAAGUUAAUACCUUUGCUCAUUGACGUUACCCGCAGAAGAAGCACCGGCUAACUCCGUGCCAGCAGCCGCGGUAAUACGGAGGGUGCAAGCGUUAAUCGGAAUUACUGGGCGUAAAGCGCACGCAGGCGGUUUGUUAAGUCAGAUGUGAAAUCCCCGGGCUCAACCUGGGAACUGCAUCUGAUACUGGCAAGCUUGAGUCUCGUAGAGGGGGGUAGAAUUCCAGGUGUAGCGGUGAAAUGCGUAGAGAUCUGGAGGAAUACCGGUGGCGAAGGCGGCCCCNUGG